rnacentral:rRNA from 1 species
AGUUACAAGUGUCUAACGGGACUGCCGGUUAUACCGGAGAGGUGGGAUGACGUCAAGUCAGCAUGGCCUCUAUGUCCAGGGCUACACACACGCUACAAUGGCCGGUACAGUGGGUAGCCAAGCCGCGAGGCGGAGCCAAUCCUGAAAGCAGGCCUCAGUUCAGAUUGCAGUCUGCAACUCGACUGCAUGAAGCCGGAGUUGCUAGUAACCGCAGGUCAGCAAUACUGCGGUGAAUACGUUCCCGGGUCUU